GAUGAACGCUAGCUACAGGCUUAACACAUGCAAGUCGAGGGACCGGCGCGCGGGUGAGUAACACGUAUCCAACCUGCGCUUUACUCGGGGAUAGCCUUUCGCAAGAAAGAUAAAUACCCGAUAUACAGGAUGGGGAUGCGUUCCAUUAGGUGGUUGGGGAGGUAACGGCUAACCAAGCCUUCGAUGGAUAGGGGUGCUGAGAGGAAGGUACCCCGCAUAUGAACUGAGACACGGUCCAAACUCCUAGGGGAGGUAGGAGUGAGGAAUAUUGGUCAAUGGGCGCUAGCCUGAACCAGCCAAGUAGCGUGAAGGGUGAAGGCUUAUGGGUCGUAAACUUCUUGUAUAUAAGAAUAUGUAUUAUAUGAAUAAGGAUCGGCUAACUCCGUGCCAGCCGCCGCGGUAAUUC
rnacentral:rRNA from 1 species